rnacentral:rRNA from 1 species
CCUACGGGAGGCAGCAGUGGGGAAUAUUGCACAAUGGGGGGAACCCUGAUGCAGCAACGCCGCGUGGGUGAAGAAGUACUUCGGUAUGUAAAGCCCUGUCAGCAGGGAAGAAAAUGACGGUACCUGACCAAGAAGCCACGGCUAACUACGUGCCCGCAGCCGCGGUAAUACGGAGGGGGCAAGCGUUAUCCGGAUUUACUGGGUGUAAAGGGAGCGUAGACGGGAAGGCAAGUCGGGGGUGAAGGCCCGUGGCUCAACCAGGGGACUGCCUUGGAAACUGUUUUGCUGGAGUGCAGGAGGGGUAAGCGGAAUGCGUGGUGUAGCGGUGAAAUGCGUAGAUAUUACGAGGAACACCGAUGGCGAAGGCGGCUUACUGGACUGUAACUGACGUUGAGGCUCGAAGGCGUGGGGAGCAAACAGGAUUAGAUACCCGGGUAGUC